ensembl:snRNA U6 U6 spliceosomal RNA
UUGCUUCAGCAGCACAUGUACUAAAAUUGGAACGAUAUGGAGAAGAUUAGCAUAGCUCCUGCACAAGGAUAACACGCAAAUGGGUGAAGUGUUCCAUAUUAAA